ensembl:lncRNA
GAGAGAGAGAGAUAGAAAGAGAGAGAGAGACAGAGAGAGAGAGACAGAGAGAGAGAGAGUCAGAGGGAGAGAGAGAGAGUCAGAGGGAGAGAGAUAGAAAGAGACAGAGAGAGAGAGAGAGUCAGAGAGGAGAGAGAGAGAUAGAAAGAGAGAGAGAUAGAAAGAGAGAGAUAGACAGAGAGAGAGAGACAGAGAGAGAGAGACAGAGAGAGAGACAGAGAGAGAGAGUCAGAGGGAGAGAGAGAGAGUCAGAGGGAGAGAGAUAGAGUCAGAGGGAGAGAGAUAGAGUCAGAGGGAGAGAGAGAGAGGCAGAGAGAGAGAGAUAGAAAGAGAGAGAGAUAGAAAGAGAGAGAGAGAGAGCAGAGAGAGAGAGAGAGAGAGAGAGAGAGAGAGAGAGAGUCAGAGGGAGAGAGAGAGAGUCAGAGGGAGAGAGAGAGUCAGAGGGAGAGAGAGAGAGUCAGAGGGAGAGAGAUAGAAAGAGAGAGAGUCAGAGGGAGAGAGAGAGAGUCAGAGGGAGAGAGAGAGAGUCAGAGGGAGAGAGAUAGAAAGAGAGAGAGUCAGAGGGAGAGAGAGAGAGUCAGAGGGAGAGAGAGAGAGUCAGAGGGAGAGAGAGAGUCAGACGGAGAAGAGAGAGUCAGAUGGAGAGAGAGUCAGAGGGAGAGAGAGAGUCAGAGGAGAGAGAGAGAGUCAGAGGGGGAGAGAGAGAGUCAGAGGGAGAGAGAGAGUCAGAGGGAGAGAGAGAGAGUCAGAGAGAGAGAGAGAGUCAGAGGGGAGAGAGAGAGUCAGAGGGAGAGAGAGAGAGUCAGAGGGAGAGAGAGAGAGUCAGAGGGAGAGAGAGAGAGUCAGACAGAGAGAGAGAGAGUCAGAUGGAGAGAGAGAGUCAGAGGGAGAGAGAGAGAGUCAGAGGGAGAGAGAGAGAGUCAGUGGGAGAGAGAGAGUCAGAGGGGAGAGAGAGAGUCAGAGGGAGAGAGAGAGUCAGAGGGAGAGAGAGAGAGUCAGAGGGAGAGAGAGAGAGUCAGAGGGAGAGAGAGAGAGUCAGAGGGAGAGAGAGAGAGUCAGAGGGAGAGAGAGAGAGUCAGAGGG